CCACAAGGGGUGAAGCUUGCGGUUUAAUUGGAGUCAACGCCGGAAAUCUCACCGGGAGCGACGGCAGUUUGAAGGCCAGAUUAAAGGUCUUGCCAGACGAGCUGAGAGGAGGUGCAUGGCCGUCGCCAGUUCGUGCCGUGAGGUGUCCUGUUAAGUCAGGCAACGAUCGAGACCCGCGUCCUCUGUUGCCACCAGUUUAGUGCUGAGCACACUGAGGAGACCGCCGCUGAUAAAGCGGAGGAAGGAGCGGGCCACGGCAGGUCAGUAUGCCCCGAAUCUCCCGGGCCACACGCGAACUGCAAUGGCAGGUACAAUGGGUUCCGACCUCGAAAGGGGAAGGCAAUCUCGAAAGCCUGCCGUAGUUGGGAUCGAGGGUUGAAACUCACCCUCGUGAACAUGGAAUCCCUAGUAAUCGCGUGUCACUAGCGCGCGGUGAAUACGUCCCUGCUCCUUGU
rnacentral:rRNA from 1 species